AUUGAACGCUGGCGGCAGGCCUAACACAUGCAAGUCGAGCGAGCGGCGGACGGGUGAGUAAUGUAUGGGGACUGCCCGAUAGAGGGGGAUAACUACUGUAAACGGUAGCUAAUACCGCAUACUAUCGGAUAACCCAUAUGGGAUUAGCUAGUCGGUGAGGUAAUGGCUCACCUAGGCGACGAUCCCUGGCUGGUCUGAGAGGAUGAUCAGCCAAACUGGACCUAGGACACGGCCCGGAUUCCUACGGAGGCAGCAGUGGGGAAUAUUGCACGAUGGGCACAAGCCUGCUGCGGCAAUGCGGCGUGGAUGAAGAAGGCCCUAGGGUGGUAAAGUACUUUCAGUCGGGAGGCGUUACCGACAGAAGAAGCACCGGCUAACUCCGUGCCAGCAGCCGCGGUAAUUC
rnacentral:rRNA from 1 species